rfam:Gregarina niphandrodes unplaced genomic scaffold scaffold00109, whole genome shotgun sequence.
GCGGAUAUGGCGCAAUGGAUAGCGCGCUGCCCUCCUAAGGCAGAGGCUGAGGGUUCGAGUCCCUCUUUCCGUU